ACGAACGCUGGCGGCAUGCCUAACACAUGCAAGUCGAACGAGACCUUCGGGUCUAGUGGCGCACGGGUGCGUAACGCGUGGGAAUCUGCCCUUGGGUUCGGAAUAACUUCGGGAAACUGAAGCUAAUACCGGAUGAUGACGUAAGUCCAAAGAUUUAUCGCCCAAGGAUGAGCCCGCGUAGGAUUAGCUAGUUGGUGAGGUAAAGGCUCACCAAGGCGACGAUCCUUAGCUGGUCUGAGAGGAUGAUCAGCCACACUGGGACUGAGACACGGCCCAGACUCCUACGGGAGGCAGCAGUGGGGAAUAUUGGACAAUGGGCGAAAGCCUGAUCCAGCAAUGCCGCGUGAGUGAUGAAGGCCUUAGGGUUGUAAAGCUCUUUUACCCGGGAUGAUAAUGACAGUACCGGGAGAAUAAGCUCCGGCUAACUCCGU
rnacentral:rRNA from 1 species